CGGGUGAGUAAUACAUAGGAAUCUACCCAGUAGUGGGGGAUAACUUGGAGAAAUCCAUGCUAAUACCGCAUAUGUCCUACGGGGCAAAGCAGGGGACCCUCGGGCCUUGCGCUAUUGGAUGAGCCUAUGUCGGAUUUGCUAGUUGGUGGGGUAAAGGCCUACCAAGGCGACGAUCCGUAGCUGGUCUGAGAGGAUGAUCAGCCACACUGGGACUGAGACACGGCCCAG
rnacentral:rRNA from 1 species